GACGAACGCUGGCGGCGUGCUUAACACAUGCAAGUCGAACGGUGACAGAGGAGCUUGCUCCGCUGGAUCAGUGGCGACCGGGUGAGGGACACGUGGGCAACCUGCAACGCACUUCGGACUAAGGCUGGGUAACUGGGUCUAAUACCGGAUAGGACCAAAGCCUGCAUGGGGGGUGGUGGAGAGCUAUUGCGGUGUGGGAUGAGCCCGCGGCAUAUCAGCUUGUUGGUGGGGUGAUGGCCUACCAAGGCGACGACGGGGAGAGGGCCUGAGAGGGUGACCGGCCACACUGGCACUGAGAUACGGCCCAGACUCCUACGGGAGGCAGCAGUGGGGAAUAUUGCACAAUGGGCGCAAGCCUGAUGCAGCGACGCCGCGUGAGGGAUGACGGCCUUCGUGUUGUAAACCUCUUUCAGCACCGACGAAGCGCAAGUGACGGUAGGGGCAGAAGAAGGACCGGCCAACUACGUGCCAGCCGCCGCGGUAA
rnacentral:rRNA from 1 species